GUUAGGACUACAGCACGUUUUCUUCAAAUAGAGUAGGGCUGCUUUUUUCUCUUUUAUGCAUACAUUAACUUCCUGGUAAAUUUUUUAUUUGAAUUAUGAUAAUAGCACACACCUACAUAAUACUUAACUUUAUGCCAGCUGUUGUUUUCAACACCUCAUAUUAUCUCAUUUAAUUCUCAAAACAACCUUUGAGGUAGAUGUUCGUAUCUUCAUUUUACAUAAGUUAAAGCACAGAGAGGUUAAGUAACUUGUUCACGAUUCCACAACUAGGAAGUGGUAAAACUGGAAUUUGAGCUCAGACAGUGAUUUUAACUACUAUAGUAUAUUGUCUCUAACUGAAGAAAAGAAUGCCUUGGCUUUUGGUAAGUUUGAAAACCAUUGAUAUUUAAUAUUGGAAAUUUGGGGCACAAACUUGUGCAAAGAUUCGGUAAUGUCAGAAAGGUGUCAGCUUGAGAUUGUAGUUUUGAUUUUUUCAACAUUUCUGUAUUUUUAAUUGUUUCAGCAUUUCAAUUACUUUUUAGUAACUCACCCUGUAAUUUUCAAGCACUUCCUCGCCAUCGGGUGGUAGAAGACAGUUGUAAAUCAUGUGAUUCAUAAAGCUUGAGGCAUACACCAAAAUGUCUUUUUAAAUUUCAAAUUUAUUUUAGGUACAGGGGAUACAUGUGCAGGUUUGUUACAAGGAAAUAUUGCAUGAUGCUGAGGUCUGGAGUAUGGAUCCCAUUACCCAGGUGCUGUAAGGAAACUGCCUACGGCUCCUUUCCCAGGAUAAUAAGAAGUGCCUUUUGCCUCCGCCAUGAUUCUGACCCCCUCCCCGCCCAGCCAUGGGGAACUUGUAUCUCCAGGACCUGGUAUACUUGUUAUGCGUUCUGGAUCCCUACAUGGUAUUUAAGUCAGAGCAAGAGAACAAGGGCUGUGGAAAACAAGUGGACUUCAGAUUUGGCCUAA
rnacentral:lncRNA from 1 species